rnacentral:lncRNA from 1 species
UAAAAAAAAAUUACAACAAAAGAUCAUAACAAUCCAAUAGGAUUAUAAAAAAAUUAUAAUUAAAUGUUAACAAUCAUAAUCAAACAUUAAGCAAGCUCAAUUAAAUUUUAUUAAAGUUAUAAAAGAAACACAAGGAAAUCCUAAAGAAAUAUAAAAGAAUAUUUAAAAAACUUAGUCAAACCCUAACAAAAAUCUAAUAGAACCUUAAAUUCUAACCAAAUCCUAAUCCUAAUCCAACCUUAAUCAAACCCUAGAUAAAUCCUAAAUCCUAAACCAAAUCCUAAUCAAACCUUAAUCCCUAACCAAACCCUAAUCUAAAUCCUAAAUCCUAAACUCUAAACCAAAUCCUAAUCCAAAUCCUAAAUCCUAAAUCCUAAAUCAAACCCUAAAUCCUAAUCAAAUCCUAAACCCUAAAUCAAACCCUAAUCCAAACCCUAAAUCCUAAAUUAAAUCCUAAACCCUAAAUCAAACCCUAAUCCAAACCCUAAAUCCUAAAUUAAAUCCUAAAUCCUAAAUCAAAUCCUAAUCCAAAUCCUAAACCCCAAAUCAAAUCCUAACCAAACCCUAAACCAAAUCCUAGUAAUUCCUAUAAUAGAUUUAAAUCCCAAUGACUAAUGAAUAAACCGUUGAUCUUAACUCAAAUUUUACACACUUUUUAAAAAAUAAGUCAGAAACAAGCACAAAAAAAUUGAUAAGGAUCGGAGUUACCAAAUUGACGAUAUCCUCAAAAAUGUGCUCGAGUAUUGGCCGGCCUCAUUCUCCAAUCUUGAUGCCAAUCUUCCAGAGCCAAUAUCUCUUCUUUACACAAUUCGAUUGAUCUCAAAAUUCUCAUAAAAAUAGAAAAACAAGUCUAAUAUCCUCUCACAUAAGUUUCACUCCAAUACAACUAGUUGAUUGCAAGAAAUCUUAAAAAACCUCAUUGGACCUAAAAUUCUACUUUCUGAGACCUUGACCCGCUUAAACCUCAAUAUCCUUCAAUUCAACCGUUAGAUCGAGCUAAAAUUCGCAAUACAUAUUAAACACAAUUAAAACCAUAA